CCUACGGGGGGCUGCAGUGGGGAAUAUUGGACAAUGGGGGGAACCCUGAUCCAGCCAUGCCGCGUGUGUGAAGAAGGCCCUCGGGUUGUAAAGCACUUUCAGUGAGGAAGAACGCCUGGUGGUUAAUACCCAUCAGGAAAGACAUCACUCACAGAAGAAGCACCGGCUAACUCCGUGCCAGCAGCCGCGGUAAUACGGAGGGUGCGAGCGUUAAUCGGAAUUACUGGGCGUAAAGCGCGCGUAGGUGGCUUGAUAAGCCGGUUGUGAAAGCCCCGGGCUCAACCUGGGAACGGCAUCCGGAACUGUCAAGCUAGAGUGCAGGAGAGGAAGGUAGAAUUCCCGGUGUAGCGGUGAAAUGCGUAGAGAUCGGGAGGAAUACCAGUGGCGAAGGCGGCCUUCUGGACUGACACUGACACUGAGGUGCGAAAGCGUGGGUAGCAAACAGGAUUUGAUACCCUGGUAGUC
rnacentral:rRNA from 1 species